AACGAACGCUGGCGGCAUGCCUAACACAUGCAAGUCGAACGAGACCUUCGGGUCUAGUGGCGCACGGGUGCGUAACGCGUGGGAACCUGCCCUUAGGUUCGGAAUAACUCCCCGAAAGGGGUGCUAAUACCGGAUAAUGUCUUCGGACCAAAGAUUUAUCGCCUUUGGAUGGGCCCGCGUUGGAUUAGCUAGUUGGUAGGGUAAAAGCCUACCAAGGCGACGAUCCAUAGCUGGUCUGAGAGGAUGAUCAGCCACACUGGGACUGAGACACGGCCCAGAAUCCUACGGGAGGCAGCAGUGGGGAAUAUUGGAAAAUGGGCGAAAGCAUGAUCCAGCAAUGCCGCGUGAGUGAUGAAGGCCUUAGGGUUGUAAAGCUCUUUUACCCGGGAUGAUAAUGACAGUACCGGGAGAAUAAGCUCCGGCUAACUCCGUG
rnacentral:rRNA from 1 species